rnacentral:lncRNA from 1 species
UAAAAUGCCCUCAAGGGUAUAAUUGUUCUCACAAUCAUACUUAAAUAUCAUUUUUAGAGCUUAUGGAUUGAUAUUCUAUGACACAUAUAAGUGAAAAAGAAAAAAAAAAUUCUUACUUUCUUUAUGAAAAUUAUUCUUCAUUAAUAUUUUGUAAUUAUGGAAAAUAGCAAAAAAACAUUUUCAUGCAUUAACAAUAAUCAUAUAAAUUAUUGAUAUGAUCAUAGUUUUCCAUCUUCUUAACCAUAAUAUAAGUUUUGUUUAUAAAGUUUUUAUAAUGUUA